GCGCAGGCAGGCGUCCACGACGCGGCGGGCGGCCCGCAGGUUUCCACCAUGCUGUUUGUAAAGCCAGCCUUUUUUAUACCACAGUGUUGUUUUCAUCAUUGUGCAAAGAAGAGGCUCAACAGUACUUUUUAGCACCACAACUAGUUCAGAAGGGUUUGCCUGCAUUUGCUGACUCCUCUUGCUGCUCUGUUCCCCUGUGUCAGAGCCAAAUUUUGAAGCAAAGCCAUCAGCUCUGGGAGUCAGGCACUGAUACACAGCUGGAUGAGAAGCCUCUCCUUCCCAAGGGCUGCUGGGCUCGGUCAAUAGUCACUGCAGUAAAAGCUUUGUGCUUGGAGUGCAGCUGCUGAUGCUGGCAGGGCUGGCCUGCCUGCCUCUCUGGAUGCCCCACAUUUGGGUGUUUGUUAUUCACUGCACAGUGACUUUCACAGAUGUCCGUGUUUGGUACCUGCUGGGGAGAAAUUAAACCUCUGCAUGUUGGCCAGUGUACAGACUGUUCCCUCUCUUUGUGGCACUUCCCUUCCAGCCCACGCUGGCUCUGGGGCUCCAAGGCCCAGUUGGGGUGCUCAGUCACAUGUUCCCAUAUCCACCUUUAGGUUUAGGCAUUGUUGUGCUCAGGAGAUGGAGUUAGCUUUCAAAUAUUUCUUCUGAUUAGAACAACCCCGUCUCAGCAGGCCAUCAGCCUGAUGUUUUCAGUGACUCUCAUUUGCAUUAAGGUCCUGAACUCCUGUUUACAUCAAGGUCCUGUUCUUGCAAAAUGUUUCCUGGAGCUGUGUCUGGAUCAGCCUUGACUGUCACUCCAGUUGCUUUUCACUGCUUGGGUAGUUAAAAAAGAUGGAAAAACUAGUAUAUCUGACCUCAUUAUGCACAGGAAUUUUCCACUGGCAUUCUCCCCACCAUUGCCACGGAGAAAUAGUGAGAGAGGACAUUUUCCAAGCACUUUAUGGCCUGGUGAUGACCUCUUCCUAAAAUAGCACCUAAGUAACUUCUGGAACAAGGUAAUGAACCUCCUACUCUUGCAGCCCCAUAUCCCUGGCACACAUGUCCUGGGGAGCAUGGACAUUCCUCGUGGCAGGCUGGAAGUGGGCUGGGAAAGGAGCUCUGUGGAACUCGAGCAACAUUUUGCUGCUGACAUUGUAUGACCUUGGACCCCUGUUCUUCACCCUGUGGCCCACAGACAUGACUGUUAAACAUGUGAGGUUGGGACAGAUGGUUACAAGUGUUUGUAAUGUUAUUCAUUGUUAUUUCUUUGUAGGUCCCACUUUAACCCUUGGAUGAAAAUUAAAGUUUCUGAAAAUCCAUUUCUGUAUUAAAGGUGACUUGCAAGGGGAAAUUUAUUUCAUCACCAAAACCUCUCCUUGCCUUGCGUUUUUAAAAGCUUACCUUCUUUGGUUCUUGUCUUGCAGGCCCAGAAAGCUCAGAUUUUUCUCCCAAAGAGUUCCAAGCAGGGGACGAGCAGGCACUCUGAUCAUAGGGCAGAAGGGGUGGGACAGGAGCCAGGAAAUUGUGCUGUGAAGUGCCACUGCCUCAAUUAGUUUAUUUUCUCCUCCUUUGUCAUGUAGGGUGGAAGAAGAAGGGAUGGCAGCUGGAGCAGCUGGCAGUUUCUGGGGAACAUCAUAAUUUCGAAAUGGAGAAACUG